CGGGGUGCAGCAGGCGCGAAAACUCCGCAAUGCGCGAAAGCGUGACGGGGUUACCCCGAGUGCCGUCCGCUGAGGACGGCUUUUGCCCGGUUUAACUAGCCAGGUGAAUAAGGGGAGGGCAAGUCUGGUGUCAGCCGCCGCGGUAAUACCAGCUCCCCGAGUGGUUGGGACGAUUAUUGGGUCUAAAGCGUCCGUAGCCGGCCGGAAAAGUUCCCCGUUAAAUCUGGCGAUCCAAUCGCUGGGCUGCGGGGAAUACUCUUCGGCUUGGGGGCGAGGGAGGUCGGCGGUAGUCCCGGGGUAGGGGCGAAAUCCUAUAAUCCCGGGAGGACCACCAGUGGCGAAGGCGGCCGACUAAAGCGCGCCCGACGGUGAGGGACGAGAGCUGGGGGAGCGAACGGGAUUAGAUACCCCGGUAGUCCCAGCUGUAAACGAUGCAGGCUAGGUGUUGGGACGGCUACGAGCUGUCCCAGUGCCGCAGGGAAGCCAUUAAGCCUGCCACCUGGGAAGUACGGCCGCAAGGCUGAA
rnacentral:rRNA from 1 species